UAGCAAUACGGAGUGGCAGACGGGUGAGUAACGCGUGGGAACCUUCCCAGUGGUACGGAAUAGCCCGGGGAAACCCGGAGUAAUACCGUAUAAGCCCGAAAGGGGAAAGAUUUAUCGCCAUUGGAUGGGCCCGCGUCGGAUUAGCUAGUUGGUGAGGUAACGGCUCACCAAGGCGACGAUCCGUAGCUGGUCUGAGAGGAUGAUCAGCCACACUGGGACUGAGACACGGCCCAGACUCCUACGGGAGGCAGCAGUAGGGAAUAUUGGACAAUGGGCGAAAGCCUGAUCCAGCCAUGCCGCGUGAGUGACGAAGGCCUUCGGG
rnacentral:rRNA from 1 species